UGCAGAUGGAAACUUUUGGGAAUCAAAUGAUAGAUCUUUCAUUUGAUGCCACUGUGGUGGUAUAGGUUGCCAUAGAGGGCAGUAUCACCUAUGGUCAGCCCACCUAGCCGUUUAAGUGUUUGGAAGGUCCAAUAGAUAGACUUAAGGGUCCUGGGAAUGAAUGGUGUAGAGAAGACAGGGUAAAUCUCCCUUCCCACCAAUCAACUGGGAAGCAAUUGUCACAUGUCAAGACAAUUGAACUUGUAUUUCCCCUUAGUGGCCCAGUGUGAGCACCCAGUGUAAGGCUUCUGGCUCCCCAGCUCUUGCCUCUCUUUGUUGGAGACCCAUGUCCCUCUCUCUUAUGAACUGGGUAUUUCCAGGCUGAACCAUUUCCUGUCUUCACUAUGUCUGUCUUAGCACCUGUGGAUACCUGCUUGCUUUCUCUUCAGAGUCAGAUAACUGGUGUAACUGCUAUAGUCAUAAAGUACCACACACAACUUCCUAUGCAAGCCUGCGUUAUUCUUCAAGUUAAAAGCACUACAAAGGAAACGUGUAAAAGAAUCAAUGAACCUCAACAUGUGCUAAUGAGCUUACCAGAGUUAACCGCAACCCUAACAUGGGCUUUGACAGGAAAUGUCCUUCAAGUCCCUACCCAGAGGAGAUUUCUUGUGGUUACCAGUUCAUCACCGCUUCGACUCAGAACAAGCACCCAGUCCUUCCAACUCUACCCGAGGCAUUAGGGCCAUCUGUGGAUCAGAGGUUCUGUCCACUUGCUGGCUCAGGAAGAAGGUCCUGAGCCAAUUUAAAACCAGACUAUUUAUCCACAAAUGCUUUCUUUGUCUCCCAGUACUUGAAGAAUCCAUUUUGAACUAAUAUAUACACACACCUCUCCAGGGUGGUAGCUUCAAAGGGGUUGAUAGAGGAGGAAGAACAGUAGCAUCCCCUUCUCCCUAUUAGAAAAAGUUCAUGCAACUCCACUACAGCACAUAUACAACUGCAGUGUAUUAACCUUAAUUUGAUAAAGUUUAACUUAAACUUUUUGAAUUGUCUCAUUUCCACAAGGGUUGUCUCGGGAUAUUGACAGUGUGUCACAGGAGCUGGGAAAAGGGGAUCAGCAUAAAGGAUGUCUCCUUCCAGCACAGCAGGCAGACACCACUGACAGGAGAAGGCUGGCCUGCUGAGCCCUCCAGAUUGGAAGGCUAAUUGGAGAGGAUAUUCAGCUGAAGGGAGCUGGCACAAGUCUUGCAGCUGACUAUUCCAUGACAAGUGGCCUGAGACACAUGCCCUAGCUCCAGGAAGAAGGCUGAGAGGGAACUCUUGCAUAAAGCAGAGAAGAAUAGACUAGCUUAAUGGAAGAUGCUUGAGAGACCUUCUAAGAGAGAUAUGAGGGGGAACUCCUGUCUGGAGGAGGGAGAAAUCGACUACUCUAAAGGAACCAUUUACAAAUUCUGCUGGAAACUUUAGGCCUGAUCCAACGCCCAUGGAAGUCCGUGGAAAAGCUCCUGUUAACUCCUGUGGACUUUGAAGCAGUUUCGUUGUGCUUUUGUAUGAAUCAUUAUUACUGACCCUGGAAAUGACGAGCCUAGUUUUUAUGGAUGGAAGCAUGAAAUGCAAGGAUGGAAUAAAGGCUGUGGAAACU